rnacentral:rRNA from 1 species
UACGGAGGGUGCAAGCGUUAAUCGGAAUUACUGGGCGUAAAGCGCACGCAGGCGGUUUGUUAAGUCUGAUGUGAAAUCCCCGGGCUCAACCUGGUAACUGCAUUUGAAACUGUCAGACUAGAGUCUUGUAGAGGGGGGUAGAAUUCCAGGUGUAGCGGUGAAAUGCGUAGAGAUCUGGAGGAAUACCGGUGGCGAAGGCGGCCCCCUGGACCAAGACUGACGCUCAGGUGCGAAAGCGUGGGGAGCAAACAGG